rnacentral:rRNA from 1 species
GAUGAACGCUGGCGGCGUGCCUAAUACAUGCAAGUCGAGCGAACGGACGAGAAGCUUGCUUCUCUGAUGUUAGCGGCGGACGGGUGAGUAACACGUGUAUAACCUACCUAUAAGACUGGGAUAACUUCGGGAAACCGUAGCUAAUACCGGAUAAUAUUUUGAACCGCAUGGUUCAAAAGUGAAAGACGUUCUUGCUGUCACUUAUAGAUGGAUCCGCGCUGCAUUAGCUAGUUGGUAAGGUAACGGCUUACCAAGGCAACGAUGCAUAGCCGACCUGAGAGGGUGAUCGGCCACACUGGAACUGAGACACGGUCCAGACUCCUACGGGAGGCAGCAGUAGGGAAUCUUCCGCAAUGGGCGAAAGCCUGACGGAGCAACGCCGCGUGAGUGAUGAAGGUCUUCGGAUCGUAAAACUCUGUUAUUAGGGAAGAACAUAUGUGUAAGUAACUGUGCACAUCUUGACGGUACCUAAUCAGAAAGCCACGGCUAACUACGUG